rnacentral:sRNA from 1 species
GAGUUUCACUCUGGCUGCCUUCUCCUGAGAGUCGGAGCCACAGGCAGAGCCCUGCCCAGGCCGAGCCGGAGCUGCAGCCCCAGCGCGGUGGUGCCCUCAGCCCCGUCCCCUUGUCCUCCUCAGCCUCGGUGCCUUGGAAUUUGUGUCGCUGAGUCAGCAAGCCUUUCAGAUUUGCCGGGUUUUUGUUGUUUGUGGUUUGUAUCAAGAUGGGAACUCAAACAAGUCAUUCCUCCUAAGGAGCUGGUGUCUUCAUCCAGAAGGGACAGUUUGCGCCAGCUCUCCAGAGAGAAAAGGCUGUUUUGCAGAGCUGUGAGAGUUGGUUCAUCCGGGCCAUGAGGACAUGUUGGGACAUACCCCGUGUGCCGAUGAUGGAGGCGGCCCUGGCUGCCCGAGAGAUGCGUGACACCCAGGAGUAAUUGGCUUGGAAGGCAGUCCUCUGAUUUGUACCUCAUUGUGGUUACAGAAACUUCUAAUUGAAGACACUGAGCUGAACUAUUCCGCCCGCCCGCCCGCCCGAGGGCACUCCAGAUCUGCCAGAGGCACUAGGCAAUGACC